AGCUGUCAAGCUCUCUGUCUUGUGUAACGCUUCUGUUUUGCGAUAACAACAACAACAAAACCCCUGAACAAAUGCAGAAGCUCUGAAGGAAUGCAGGGCUAACAACGGAAGCAAGAAGACAGUUUUGGAUGCCUCCUGGCUUUCAGGAGAGAAAUGCAAGAGAAGAUGGCGCUGAGCUGGAAGAGUGUGAUGGAACUUAAGAUAUUUGGACAGCCCCAGCCACAAGAGAUGAAGCUUAAUUUCCCAUGUAUGGAAACCUCCCUUCUUGCCCAUUGCUGCAGAAGUCACUAUACUAAGUUUCCAAAAUAUAAUGGGAGCCUAUUCAGACAUCAAGGUCCUGGUAACUUGAAUAUGUUGGUGGUGGGAAUUCUGGACACAUCACUCAAAGUUGGGAAAGAUCCUGUUCUUAUUCAUAUUUUCCCCAGAUAUAGAGGUGUACAGAUAAAAACAAAAACAACAACAAAAGAAACUGCUGUUACAAACUGCCUGCCCUCUGAAGUCAUUACAGCUCAGCUCUCUUUUACAGUGCUCGGCCAUGCAGAGCGAUCCCAAACGGGGCAUCAAGGGACACAGCCCCACAAAGCUGCAGGUGGAGCAGAACUCGCUGCCACUGCUUUCCAUAUGUUCCUUCCCAUGGGGGCCUGACUGGACCUCGACCUGAGGAGGAAGCAGAAUGGAAACUUAAUGAAGAAGUGAGUCCCAUCCCUCAGGAAAGUCUUUUUAUGCAUGGUUCUCCCAAGACCAAUUGUGGCUGGAAGGAUUCCCUUUUAGAUUUGGGCAUAUAAACUCCAACAGAAGCCUGCUAGCUGAUAUAAUGCUUAAACAAGAUUCCAUGAGCUACACUUUGGUCCUAUCAAGACAGGCAGGCAGCUGCAUGAGAGGUGGAAAGAGAGAAAAUGAUUGAGAUGAAAUCACCACCAACAACUAUUGCAGGCAGCAAAGCAGCAUUGGAUUCCAGCCACCAUACUUCUGCAACCAGGUGUGAAUGAGCCUGAUGGGAUGUUAUUAUGGAUCCUACACUGAAAAAGGUCCUUUUGUCAGAAGCAUAACAAGGAACUUCAGUCUGGCUUUCAAAAGUGCUGAACACCCAAAACUCCUACUGAGGUCUCUGUGAAUCACAGCACAGAACAAGUGACUCUUCCCUUCACUCUGCAAGUGCUACAGAUUCAUGUGCUUCUACUAAAAUCUCCACGUGCCCGAGAUGCAGGUAUCUGAGCACAAGCUACAUCGGUGCAAGGCUAGUUACUGUGCCAGGAGAACAUGUCCAACUGCCUCUUAAUAAAAGGAUGAUAAAGAGAAGGCUAGUAUUCUCCUGGAGAAGCUGGCAGUCCAUGGCUUUGACAGGUACAUUCUUUACUUUCUGGGCAAAAAACUGGCUGAAGGACAAGCCCAGAGCGUGGUGGUAAGUGGGGUUAAAUCUAGCUGGCAACCGGUCAUGAGUGGUGUUGCCCAGGGGUUGGUACUGGGGCCUGUCCUAUUUACUAUUUUCAUUAAUCACCUGGACAAGGGGCACCUUCAGUAAGUUUACAGAUGACAUCAAGUUGGGAGAAAGCCUUAAUCUUCCUGAGGGUAAAAAGGCCCUUCAGAGGGAUCUGGACAGGAUGGAUCACUCGGUUGAGGCCAAUGGGAUGAAGUUCAAGAAGACCAAGUGACAAGUCCUGCACUUUGGUCACAACAACCCUAGGCAGUGCUACAGGUUUCGGGCAGAGUGUCUGGAAGACUGUGGAGGAAAUGGACCUGGGGGUAUUGGUCAGCAUUUGUCUGAACAUGAGCAAGCAGUGUGCCAAGGUAGCCAAGAAGGCCAUUGGCAUCCUGGCUUCUAUCAGAAAUAAUGACAUCCUGACUUGUAUCAGAAAGAUUGUUACCAGCAGGACUAGGGAUGUAGUCAUGUAUCCAGUUACACAGUGGACUAGUUGCUGUGCUGAGAAGCACUAACAGACUACUCAUGUGCAGCCUUGUCCCUUUAAACAAGCAACCAGAGCAUGUCACCUGGACUUUGACACUCAUGAUUCAAAGAAGGAUAGAGACAGCCCUAUUUGGAAUAUCUAUAGGAGUGCCUGAAGUAACCCCAAUUCCCUGCUGAAGUACCUAAGUUUUCUCCUUUAUAUCUAUGCUUUCCUGGUCUCUGCAGAGACUUCCAAGGAAAAUCCUUAAUGAGGACUUGUCCUUCUUUCUUAUGGCAUGGACCCAUGGCCAAGGAAAACUACGCCAAGAUUUCCAAGCUUGUAGACGCCACCACUGCAACAUCUGAUUGGAACAACUGCUACCAUCCGGAGCUGAGCACAUCUGAACUGGUGAACCGUCUGACUGAUCCCCACUCACCAAAUGGGUUGUGAAGAAGUGCUGGAUGCCUUAAAAAAUGCAGUUAUAAUUUUGGAUCCAAGCUGUGAGAACACUCAUUGGAGACAACUGUUCUCUCAUGGGCUAGCCUUGAAUAAACAAUCACAGCUCUGUGUGAUAUUACUUCUUAACCAGAUUCUAGCAUUGAGCUGUUGCCUUGCCAUGGUUACUUGCCUUUUAAACCAAUGUUUCUUUUCCUUCCUUUUUGCCAAGAUUCUUGCUUGCUUGGCAGUCGCUCGUUCUCCUUUGAACUUUUGCCCUAUUUUAAUCUCCACCAAAUUUUUAGUCUAAAAGAACCUUUUCAACGAUAUCUUUUGUUGUCCUGAAUUUCUUUUCUCGCUGUGAGAACUUACUUGGGGACAUGGCUUACGGGAAAGUGCCCAAGUGACUGUCUUCUCCUGAGUAUCCAGCAGCUGGCAUGCAUCCGUGAGGAGAUUAUGAAACAAAGCCACGACAGCACAAGACAGUGGCCACUCCUGAAAUAAGAUUAAAUAGUAAAGAAGGACACACGUACACACACAUGCAAACUACCAGGUCAUUCACUGGGAGAUUUACUUGUGCUUGUUAGCUCCUGAGCUUGCCUCAACUGAAUUCAUCUGAGGAUAACACCGUUAAAACCCAUGUCAGAGCAUCACUCUGCCACACAGGGGUCCAGAGCAGAAUCCCUCACUUGUGCUGUGCCCCGGGAGCUGGCAGAGCACCGCAUCCCAUGGAUCAUGUGGGAGUCCUGGAAAAAGGAAGCAUGUCUCUGGCUGCCUCGGGGUAACUCUCCAGGCAACCUGGAAGAAUCAAACUCACAGCUUCUGUGAAGAAGUUAAAAUUCAUCUUAUAUCAGGCAAACGCAUCACCUUGACAUAUUUUGACUUUUUUUUUUUUUUUUUUUUUAACGUGUUUUGUCCUAUUUGGAGAUUCAGGGGGAGAAAUGCAUGCUCUCUCCAAAAUAUUUUUUAGUCACUAAUAUUGUUCCCACUUCUAAAAAGAAAAAGAAGUUAACACAAUUCAGUUUCAGAUUCAUCAAAAGACAUCACUGUGUGAUUUUCUAAAGUAAAGGCAAGUACAUGUGUACAGUAUUCCUGUGCAUAACAUACAUGUGUGUACAUAUAGGUGUACAAAAACAGUGACAGUAUUUCAUACGCAUAUUUAUUACUGGGAAAACCGAUUUUCUUACCAGAAGCAUAACUGCCAAAUUUCUGGCAUUAGUGAAAGCCCAGCUAUUACUAUUUAGAAAUCUCUGUCUCAGGCUGAAUCAUUUUUUGGCUGAGUUUUUAAUGUAAAGUAAAACCUAGCACAAGCCUCAAGGACAACAGACCCCUGUGGUGUGCUGUAUGUAAAAUGAACCACAUUAAUGUCAUUCUGGUAUGUGCAUCAUAUAUUCUGAUAGAGAAACCAGGGCCAAUAGUUUAGUCAUAUUUAUUCACAGACUAAUAAGAAUCUGUGUUAAUUGACUAAGAUAUGCCUGAGAGCAUCUUUUCACCAUCUGAAUAGUUGGGCUGAAUGUAGGAAGACCAGCAAGAUACCUAUUUCCUUUAAAACAUAACCUUACCAACAUUUUAUGUUAGAAGAUUUUAAACUAAAUCAAACAAUUCAAAGUCUAUCCUUGCUCACUCUUAUUUAUUAACUUUUAGAGAGCAAUUUUCUUCACAGUAGCAAAAUCAAUACUCUGAGAUAAAACUUCUAACAAGAGUUUCCUUUCUCAUAAAAUUUUAUUGGCAAUUUAAUUCUUCAUCUGUAUUGAAAUGGUAAAAUGUAAAGAGCAAUGUUCUUUUUUGCUAGUAAAACAUCCUUAUUUACUUUGGAACACAUGCAGAAGGCACAUUUUCAGCUGAGUUCAAUCAUUUUCUGUUUCCUUGAUAUCUUCAUAUGCAGACAAUCCUGACUGACAGAAAAAUCACUAGCUAAUUGACUACAGCAUGCUUUAUAUGCAAGCUUUAUAUGCAAGUAUUGGUAGCAACCUACUCUUUAGACUCCCUGUGGGCUGGAGGUGGGCAACCUGCGGCAGAAGUGCCCAGCCAUGUGCUGCUUUGCUCUUCACAGAAACAAGAUGUUACCUUGGAGUAAUUUGCCCCUUAGCACCCAAUAUGCAAACUUCCAAUUGACUCCAGCUGGAUUUCUGCACCUUGCUGUAGUUCACGUACAGCAGCAAAUCCUUGUACUACCUUGGGCAUGGAAAAGAGGUAAACAGGCACACCAUGCCUCUCAGUCCAGGAUGGGAACAUAAGUAUUUAAGAGACAGACACGCAUCCUUUCCCAUGAGAAAGGAGGAGACAGAGAAGGAAGGCUACUCCACACCGUGCACAGGGUGUGUCCACACAGUGGUAAUGUGUUGCCAUUCUCAGCUUUUCCAUCCAGCAUUUUCAAAAUUAGACUGGUAGUAAGUAAGGCUUGAGGGGCCGGCUGAGCUCAGCUUUUGGGAAGGAGGCUCCACUGCGUACAAUGCUGACUUGAGUCCCAGUGUCACUUUCCCACACGGAGUAGCCCCUUGAUCUGUGAGUAGUGCCUAUGACUUCUGCCGGGACCACUCGCAAGGACAAUGCGGCUCAGCAGGCUCUUUGUAAAUGUGUGGCCGCAAUACAUUCAUCAGCAACAAUGACUCCUGUAAUCAUUUACAAUGCCUUUGGGCCUCUGUGUGUAAAAAAAGCAUCGCUACGCCAAACCAAUGGGAGAAAAGCUUGUGUGGUGGUGGCUUUAAAAUCGGAAUUGUGAAGCGUUAUUUGUAUCGAGAGACGAAAUAGCAAGAAGUGGAAAGGGUGAGAAAACAUGAAAAGAAAUGCGCUUAGGGAAACAGAAGCUGGAAGUAAUCAAUAAAUCAUAGAAGAAAGUAAAGAGAAAGAACCUUUAAAGUGCCCAAGCUUAAAUGUCAAGAGUAUUAGAACAAAAGAGCUCAAAGCAGAAGAUUGUGUGACAGAGGAAUAUGCUGAAACUCUGUCAGAAAGCAGGCUCACUCCUGAGCGUGGAAAACAGUACAGACAAUGAAGGGCAGCAGAGAAGAACAGAAUAAGAAAUGAGGACACCGUGUACGUUCCUCUUCCUUAAAUAGCUUGAACACACAGGAUUGGUAUUAUUGUUAUUAGAAGACUCUGAGGAGUAAAACUGGAAGAACACCAUCACAGUUGUUGAAAAGAUCAGCUUUAAGCUAUGUAAUAUGCUAAGAAUGUGCUAUCAUAUAUGCAUGAAGGUAUGCCAUCAAUAUUGCAGAGUAAAAAGAUCUUGCUUACAUUGUCCUCCGCCAAAAAGAAACAGAGCCAACCAAGGCAGAGCUGUUGUUACAUUUAUCCCUAGACAAAUUCCUACAGUUACAUUUUUUUUUCCUAAUGACACUCUUUCAGUGAUGCACUUAAUCACACAUAGCUCUAGGCACAAGUGCUUGUCCCACUGAAAUCCACGUAUAUAAACAUACACUUAAAGUUAAGCUGGUACUCAAAAUGUUUUGCUGAGCUGAAGCCCGUGUGCUGAUGGAUUGCCUAGUUAGCCAUAAGCUGCAUGGUUACAUCUGUUUUUGACUUCUGGCUCAGAAACAGAUACCUGCUCUGUUUGAAUCAAAUUUAUCAUGGCCGCUACUCAUAUAAAAAUGCUUUUGGCACCACACAUGUCUGUGUUGUGAAACCAAAAUUUUAUGUUAAAAAUGGAUUUGUGGUCAACUGAGCAAAGGCGGCUUACAUUCUCCUCGGCAGAAACCUGUACGGGAAGAAAUUAAACGUGCCUUGAUGUACUUUGAAAAAGAGAAUUUGAGAAGCUCUCACAAAGGCUGCUGGAAAACAUCUGUCACAGCAAAAGGCAGACAAACCCCGGGCACUAUGCGUUGGGUGAUGGACUUUGCCAAGCAUGACAGGCAUGAGGGCUGCUGCAGCUAUUGAGACACACUGGCAGGCAGUAGACCUGAGCCGCAGCUCUUUCUUAAGAGCCCUGGUGGCACUGCCCACUGCACAGGUCUCAUUUCUGGGUCAAGUCUGAACAGAUAAUCUUUGCAGUUUGCUUGAGGUCAUGAUACGACUGUCGUAAAAACCAUUAUAAAGGCAUGCCCCUGGGGUAUUUGUUCUUGUGGGAAUAAAGCACUUAAAAUCCACACGGACCACUCAGUCAGUGGCAGGAAAGAGAACACAUACUGAAUUGUUUGUAAAAUAUUAUUAGCUUGAAUCAGGUGGUGAUAGCAAUAUGGAAACACAGCAGCUCAGUCCACUCUGAAGUCAUUAUUAACAUUAUCCUGCUAUUUGAGUAUGUACACACAAAUGACAGUACCGAUAUGCCAUUCCAGAGUAACAUCAGCAGGUAAAUUGACUGUUAAUGCUUGUGUUAAUGUUACUGAGCAUGUCCACAAUAACAAAGACAUUUCCAAAAACCUGAGUGAACUGAUGACAGGAGAGUGAUGAAUCAUGCAAAAAAAAUAAAUAUUACCACAAGUGCUCAUUUGACAGCAAAGAAUUUUGUGGUACCGCUCUGUGAGACAUUUAAAAUUUCAGUCAUAAUUUUAGGAGAUCUCUCUCAUUCAAAUUGUCAAAGCCUAGCAAGCUUGUUAACAACAUCAAGGGGUGACUGGUUCUUCAUCUUCUUGCUCUUGUUCUACUGAAUGAUCGAGGAACAAACUAAAACUGACAGCUAUUGCAAGGAUAACAAGAAUUAGGAGAUACAAAAUAUGUUUCUACCCCUCCUUGUCAAAUUCAGCCUAAGGUAGUUGAUAUUCAGUUCCGGAAAAUGUUGCAAAACUAAAAGGAGCUGUAGCUUAGAUCCUGGAUGUUCUGUCCCCGCCAAGCAGGGCCACUGGAGUGGCAUGAAGCAGGACAGCUAAUGGAACUGGGGUCCAUCAGCUCCCUUCUUUCAGGUUGCUAAUUCUACCAUAUACAAACGAGCUAGGAAUCCACUGAAAGAAUUAACAUGAAAGUUCUAAAGUCUCCCCAUGAUUUUCACAGUAUCUUGACAAAUUUGAUUGUAGGAACAGCAAAGCAAGUCCUUAAGCUAUGGUCUUUUUAUUAAAUAUUUGAUCUCCAUUAAAACAUCAAGACUUCUUGGUGGUGUUAGCUUUCAUUGUGAGUGAAUGCUUUCAAUCCAUGUCUUAGUUACCCUGGAUUCUUAGUUGAGAAAAUAAUAAAUAAAUAAAUAGAUGUUGAUGUACAUGAAGUACUGUGCUUAUUCACUGCAUACCAAUGUUCGAGAGUGUAAUGACAGGACAAGGAGCAGUGACUUUGAACUGACAGUGACUAGAUUUGGAUUAGGUAUUAGAAAAAACUUCUUUACUCAGAUAAUGGUGAGACAAUGGCAGAGGCUGCCCAGAGAAGCUGUGGAUGCUCCAUCCCUGAUGGUGCUCAAGAGCACAUUGGUUGGGGCCCUGGGCAACCUGACCUAGUGUGCGGUGUUCCUGCCAUGGUAGGGGGAUUGAAACUGGAUGAUCUUUAUGCUCCUUUCCAACUAAAACCAUUCUGUGAUUCUAUGAAAGCCAAUUUUGAUGAGAUUCACUUGAAACCUCACUCUAAAAAUAUUAUAUAAGUAGGUAGCCACUAAGAAUGACUAAGGUUUAGAAGAUAAGAUUAACGUUAUAAGAAAUCAGGCAAAUUACAUGCAGACAUGAUCCAACCACAGGAUAUGGGAUGCAUUGGUUGGGAGAACCCCACUUAGUUUGCUCAAGGAUAUUUUUUUUAUCAGGAAGCUAAAUAUAAUAUAGAGGGUGUGGCCUCAAGUUUAGCCAAGGGAGAUUCAGGUUGGACAAUAGGAAAAACUUCUUCAAAAGAGUGGUCAGGCAGUGGAAAGGGCUGCCCAGGGAGGUGGUGGAGUCACUGUCACUGGAGGUGUUCAGUACAUGUCUAGAUGUUGUACUGAGGGACAUGGUUUAGUGGGAAAUAUUGAGAGUAGGUGGACAGUAGGACUGGAAAAUCCUGGAGGUCUUUUCCAACCUUAGUGAUACAAUGAUUCUGUGAUUAUAUAAAUUAUUUCAUAGGUGUUAUUCAGCUCUCUCCAAUCAAGUCAGCAAGAUUUUAACUGAAGUUGUCUCAUGCUUGGCCAACCUGUUAGAUUGCAGUGAUGAGUUGACAGGCUUGGUGUAUGAGGAGAGUACAGUGGAUGUGAUUUAUCUCAGCUUUGGCAAGACUUUCACCACAUUCUCCCAUAUUGUCACCUACAUAACACUCCAGAAAUUAAUGAGUUGCAGACUAAAUGAAUGGACAGUGAGAUGGACUGUAAACUGUCUGAAUUGCUGGGCUUAACAGGCUGUGAUCAUGAAGUCCAGCUGGAGGCCAGUCAUAGCUAUGUACCUCAGGGGAAGAUACUGGGGCCAGUAGAUUUUAACACCUUCAUUAAUGACCUGGGCAACUCAACAGAGUGAAUCCUCUGCAAAUUUGCAGAUACAAUAAAACUGAGAAAAGAGUUUGCUAGACUAGAUGCUUGUGCAUCCAUUCAAAAGGACCUUGACACACUGAAGAACUAGGCUAACAGGAAACUCAUGAAGUUAAAUAAAGGGAAAUGCCAUGUCCUCCUCAUGAGGAGGAACAACCUCUUGCACCAGGAAAGGUUGAGGCCAGCUGGUUGGAAAGCAAUGCUGUAGAAAAUGCUGUGAUAUUCCUGGAGAGCAGCAAGUUAACCAUGGGCCAGCAAUGUACCCUUGAAGUACAUUGGGCUGCACUAUGCUGAGCAUUACCUGCAGGUCAUAUAAGGUGAUCUUUUCUCUCUGUUCAAACAAACCUGGAGCACUGAGUCCAGCCAUGGUCUUCCCAGUACAAGAGACCUGGGUAUACUGCAGCAGGUCCAGUGAAGGUCCAGAGGGAUGACUAAGGGCUUGCAGUACCUAAGGUACAAGGAGAGUCUGAGAGAGCUUGGACAGUUCAAUCUGGAGAAGAAAAAGCUCUGGAGAAUCUUAUCAGUGUGCAUAAACACCUGAUGGGGGACGAUAUGGAAGCUGGAGCCAGUCUCUUCCCAGAGGCACACACUGAAAAGACAAAACACAAUAGGAACAAAUUGAAAAUAUAUUUUUCCUGCAGGGGUUGUUGAAUAUUGGAACAAGUUGCCCAGAAAGGGUGUGGAGUCUUCAUCCUUGCAGAUCUUCAAAACCCAAAUAUUUUUUCAAUUUUUUUUCUGUAGGGCAUCUGCCUGCUCUUUCUGAAUUGCAAAAGAGUAAUUUCCUACUCUUCACUAUAUUGUUAAUACAGGCAGAGGCUCUUCAUAAAUGUAGUGUCAGCCCACAGAUCAAAUGUAUAUCUCACCUGCUACUUCCCCUACAAUUUUGGGUCUUGGGACAAUGCGUAGGCUGCACCGUUAGUGCCUCAGCUCAGACCUACAUGUUCUCCUGAACCAGUCCCUUUCCCCAACUGCCCCAGUGGGAUCACAGUUGUCUAUAACCAAAACAUUGCUGCAACUGUAAAAUUUGCCUGAAAGUUCAUUUCAAUCUGCUGCUUAUAGUAAACAGGUGGGUUAUGGCUUUGUCCUUCAUGUUCAGCCUCAUGUCAGUUCCAAAAAUCUUGCUCAACUGCUGUUCAGAGAUCUCAGCUGGAGUUGAGAACAAAAAUCUCACUGAACUUCAUCAAGUAUUUGGAGUAAAACUGACACAUGACUGGGGAUAGAAGGAAGGCACAGCCAGCAGGGGAGAGAGGAGUGCUUGUGAAAGACUUCAAAAUGGAGAGAAUUCAUUCUUGUUGAUGAGAAGGCCUUGAGGAACUCAACCUACAAAUCAUUACACUGUUGCAAGAAUAAGAGAGAAAUCAUUCAUUACUAAAAAAGCCUCAUAGUGCCAUUCAAGCACGUUGAGAGCUUUUCUGAGAAUGUACCUUCCGCAGAGCAAUGGAGCCAGAGUGUGAAAUGACCAAAGUGAUUGAGAGAAGCUAAUAGCAGUAGUCCAGAGCUCAGAGAGAUUUGAAGACAUUCUCCAUAGUGCUGUGGUCUUACAAGUCAAACACAAACUGUGGACACAGGGCUCACUGAGGCUUGGCUGAUGCCUAGGAGAAGCCAAAAAUCUGUGCCGGGCACAUACAUUUUCCUCAGCCUCCUUCCACAGGCAAACCUGCAAGCUGAAGUGGAAGCCUCUCUGCUGGGCCAACCAGAACAUGCCUCAUGGUCUGCAAACCAGUAAACAGAGACAGCAGUCUUUCAGCUACUCUUCUGCUGGGGCUGCUUGAGAAGGCAGCCUGGAAAACUGGAAAGCCAACCAUUCAUUUAAGAACACACACACAGACAGAACCAGUGGGACUGUAUUUUAUCAAAAAUUUCUGGUGAUAAAGUUUUGGGGGAAAAAAAAGCCCACAGUUUUCCAUAAAACUUCCUAUGCCUAAGCUAUUUCUAAAUGCAACUAUUGGACACUUGAAAAAAAUAAGAACGUUAUUUUAAAGGCUAAUUUAAACAUUACUUUGAUGGUUAAGGUUUAGAAAAACCUUUUUACAAGACGUCUGAGUGUGUUCAUAGCUAUAGGACAUGUGCAUACAUUAUUACUAUCUAUGUGAUAACUUGACAGUUGUAAAAUGGUUUAAUUUUACUGUCAUAUCACUAAAGACUCUUGCUAUCUAGUAGCAAAACAACUGUAAUACUCAUGUCUCCUAUUUACGUUGUAAUGAAAUAAUAUUGACAGUUUGAGCACUACAACGUAAAUGGAAGACACUCUGAACUAGAAGAUAGUUAUCCUAAGUGGAUAUUAUUAUCUUUAUCUGUCACUACUAGUAAUCCCUAAAUAGAAAUUACUCUUAAUAUUUUUUAAAAGAGCAUUGGAAUUAAAAACAAUCCCUUCUCAUCUCUGAAUCAUGCUUUCAUUUUUUAAAAUUUUCUUUUUCAGAAAAUUUCAAAAAUGCUUUUUCUUUAUAUUUAACUACUUCCAGUGAAACAUAAAUUCUGAACCUUCCCCAGGUAUAAAGGUAAUGAAGACUUGCAGUAGCAUGUUGAUGAUCUAGCAUGACCCACAAUAUUUGCU
rnacentral:lncRNA from 1 species